ACGACCUUACUUCAACCGGAUCUGUUCUACAGGAAUGUACCUCUGUAUCUGUAUCCAUGAGUUGCCUUCAGUUUUGUUGGAAUAAAAAGUGUAGGAUAAAAACA
rnacentral:sRNA from 1 species